rnacentral:rRNA from 1 species
CGGACGGGUGAGUAAUGUCUGGGAAACUGCCCGAUGGAGGGGGAUAACUACUGAAACGGUAGCUAAUACCGCAUAACGUCGCAAGACCAAAGAGGGGGACCUUCGGGCCUCUUGCCAUCGGAUGUGCCCAGAUGGGAUUAGCUAGUAGGUGGGGUAACGGCUCACCUAGGCGACGAUCCCUAGCUGGUCUGAGAGGAUGACCAGCCACACUGGAACUGAGACACGGUCCAG